GUGCUCACUUUGGCAGCAAAUAGACUAAACUUGGUAAGCUACAGACAAGAUCAACAUGGUCCCUGUGCAGGAACGGCAUGUGAAUUCAUGAAGUGAUCAUAUUUUAA